GAUCUCUCUCUGGAGGAAAAAUGGGCAGAUCAUGGGGACUAUUCCGGUUGCUGGGACAGAUAGUGGAGACAACAUUGAGGAAUCUAUAUUGGCUAUUAGCUUUAGUAACAAGGGAUCCAGAUACAUGUGCUCUGGGGGAAGCGGUCGAGUAGUAAGAAUAUGGGAUCUACAGAGGAAACGCUGCAUUAAAUGGUUGAGGGG
rnacentral:misc_RNA from 1 species